rnacentral:tRNA from 1 species
GCAUUAAUGGUUCAGUCAUAGAAUUCCUGCCUUCCAUGUGGGAGACCUGAGUUCGAUUCCCAGCCAAUACA